rnacentral:rRNA from 1 species
CUUGGUCAUUUAGAGGAAGUAAAAGUCGUAACAAGGUUUCCGUAGGUGAACCUGCGGAAGGAUCAUUACCAAUAUAGCGAACCGAGCGUUAGCGAGGCUUCGCGAUCAAAUUUGUAUUUAAAACCCAACUCUUUAAAUGUAUACAUUAUUAUUGUAUUUUAAAUAAUAAAGAUCACUUUCAACAACGGAUCUCUUGGCUCUCGCAUCGAUGAAGAACGUAGCGAAGUGCGAUAAGUAAUGUGAAUUGCAGAAUUCCGUGAAUCAUCGAAUUUUUGAACGCAAAUUGCACUCUCUGGUAUUCCGGAGAGUAUGCCUGUUUGAGGGUCAGUAAAAUAAAAAUCGAUGUUGUUGUCAAUGAUAACGCGUCGGAACUGAGUCGUCUUACCUUCGGUUAAGUGACUUAAAAUUUUUACGCGAAUUCGAAACGUAUUUAAUGUUUAUGUACGUUUGCGAUAUUCCAAUAUUAUUAGGUGCGGUCAUUCCCAUGAUUCGCGUCUAUAAUUUUUCAUUUCUUGACCUCAAAUCAGGUAAGAGUACCCGCUGAACUUAAGCAUAUCAAUAAGCGGAGGA